CAUUAAUGAGUUAGGGUCUCCCAGGCCCGACCUCCCAACCCUAUGUCUAUUAAACUUUUUGUUGCUUCGGCGGGCCCGUCCUAAACGACCGUCGGAGGAUUUGUCGCGAGACGUCCUCUGGCCUGCGCCCGUCGAUGGCCUAACUUAUUAAACUCUGAACUGAAUAUGUUUAUGUCUAAGUCUAUGAUUUAAAUAAAGCAAAACUUUCAACAACGGAUCUCUCGGUUCUGGCAUCGAUGAAGAACGCAGCGAAAUGCGAUAAGUAAUGCGAAUUGCAGAAUUCCAGUGAGUCAUCGAAUCUUUGAACGCACAUUGCGCCCUUUGGUAUUCCGAAGGGCAUGCCUGUUCGAGCGUCAUUAUCACCCCUCAAGACUACUUUGCAGUGGUUUUGGUGUUGGACGGUUUGGUUAAGCUCUUGCUUAAACCCCUCCUAAAGACAAUGACGGCGGACUUGUGGAACCCCCGGUACACUGAGCUUCUUAACAGAGCACGUACCGGAUGAAGGGUGCCCGAGCCCCGGUCUACUCCCUUGAAUGGGAAAAUCUUUCUCAAGGUUGACCUCGGAUCAGGUAGGGAUACCCGCUGAACUUAA
rnacentral:rRNA from 1 species